CCUACGGGUGGCAGCAGUGGGGAAUAUUGCACAAUGGGGGAAACCCUGAUGCAGCAACGCCGCGUGAGUGAAGAAGUAUCUCGGUAUGUUAAGCCCCUUUUGUAGGGAAGAAGAAAGACGGUAUAUGACCACGAAUCCACGGCUACGCACGUGCCAGCAGCCCCGGCAAUGUGGAGGGGGCCAGCGUUAUACGGUUUUACUGGGGGUAAAGGGAGCGUAGUGGGUUUUGAAAGUUUGAAGGGAAAGGCCGUGGCUCAACCGCGGAACGGCCUUUGAAAAUGUAUGGCUAGAGUACGGGAGUGGCAGGCGGAAUUCGUGGUGUAGCGGUGAAAUGCGUAGAUAUCAGGAGGAACACCAGUGGCGAAGGCGGCCUACUGGACAUAAACUGACGUUGAGGCACGAAAGCGUGGGGAGCGAACAGGAUUAGAUACCCCAGUAGUC
rnacentral:rRNA from 1 species